GACAUAAAUGUGGCGCUGUGGUAGUGCAACUGCCUGCGACGCAGAAGGUUCCGGGUUCAAUUCCCGGUGGGUCA